rnacentral:rRNA from 1 species
GACAGAGGGUGCAAACGUUGUUCGGAAUUACUGGGCGUAAAGCGAGUGUAGGCGGUCUGCUAAGUCGGGUGUGAAAGCCCCGGGCUCAGCCCGGGAAGUGCGCUCGAAACUGCGCGGCUCGAGUGCCGGAGGGGAGAGUGGAAUUCCUGGUGUAGCGGUGAAAUGCGUAGAUAUCAGGAGGAAUACCGGUGGCGAAAGCGACUCUCUGGACGGCAACUGACGCUGAGGCACGAAAGCGUGGGGAGCAAACAGG